AACUUUUGGCAAUGGAUCUCUAGGCUCUCGCAUCGAUGAAGCACGCAGCGAAAUGCGAUACGUAAUGUGAAUUGCAGAAUUCAGUGAAUCAUCGAAUCUUUGAACGCACAUUGCACUCUCUGGUAUUCCGGAGAGUAUGCUUGUUUGAGUAUCAGUAAACACCUCAAAUCUCUUUUUUAUUAAAGAGAAUUGGACUUGAGGAAUCCCAACUCUUUGCAAAAGGAGGCGGGUUGCUUGAAAUGCAGGUGCAGCUGGACAUUCUUCUGAGCUAAAAGCAUAUUUAUUUAGUCCCGUCAAACGGAUUAUUACUUUUGCUCUAGCUAAUAUAAAGGUCGAAUGUGCUAUAUGCUGACUGAUGCAGGAUUACCAAGUUUUACUAGCUAAAACUUGUAAACUCGAUCUCAAAUCAAGUAAGACUACCCGCUGAACUUAAGCAUAUCAAUAAGCGGAGGCU
rnacentral:misc_RNA from 1 species